rnacentral:lncRNA from 1 species
UCAAAAUAGCACGUCAAAGUAUUUCCCAUUUUUGAGAGGAGACAACCCCAGAGAGGUCAAAACCUAGACUCUUCAGAUCAGCGAAAUCAAUAAACUUUUCAUAAGAGAUAGACAUAUGACCUUCUUCACCAAGGAAAGUGUUAGAAUCCAUAACUGGUUUUUUUAGAGAUGAGAUGAAGUAAGACAAAAUUUUAGAUUUUUUUUUGAGAAAAUGCAAGAGAUGAUGAUGAGUGAGAGGCGAAGAUGAGUUUAAAUAGAA